AGAGUUUGAUCCUGGCUCAGGACGAACGCUGGCGGCGUGCCUAAUACAUGCAAGUCGAGCGGAUCUUCAUUAGCUUGCUUUUGAAGAUCAGCGGCGGACGGGUGAGUAACACGUGGGCAACCUGCCUGUAAGACUGGGAUAACUUCGGGAAACCGGAGCUAAUACCGGAUAAUCCUUUUCCUCUCAUGAGGAAAAGCUGAAAGACGGUUUCGGCUGUCACUUACAGAUGGGCCCGCGGCGCAUUAGCUAGUUGGUGAGGUAACGGCUCACCAAGGCGACGAUGCGUAGCCGACCUGAGAGGGUGAUCGGCCACACUGGGACUGAGACACGGCCCAGACUCCUACGGGAGGCAGCAGUAGGGAAUCUUCCGCAAUGGACGAAAGUCUGACGGAGCAACGCCGCGUGAGUGAUGAAGGCUUUCGGGUCGUAAAACUCUGUUGUCAGGGAAGAACAAGUACCGGAGUAACUGCCGGUACCUUGACGGUACCUGACCAGAAAGCCACGGCUAACUACGUGCCAGCAGCCGCGGUAAUACGUAGGUGGCAAGCGUUGUCCGGAAUUAUUGGGCGUAAAGCGCGCGCAGGCGGUUCCUUAAGUCUGAUGUGAAAGCCCCCGGCUCAACCGGGGAGGGUCAUUGGAAACUGGGGAACUUGAGUGCAGAAGAGGAGAGCGGAAUUCCACGUGUAGCGGUGAAAUGCGUAGAGAUGUGGAGGAACACCAGUGGCGAAGGCGGCUCUCUGGUCUGUAACUGACGCUGAGGCGCGAAAGCGUGGGGAGCGAACAGGAUUAGAUACCCUGGUAGU
rnacentral:rRNA from 1 species